AGAACUAAAAUAAAUCAACUUAUGUUUGUUGUGUGUCAACUUAUGUUUCAACUAUACCUUCAAUUGUAGGGAAUAAAAUAUGUACGGAUAAGAAGAUCUUUAAGCAUUACCAGUAAAGCACUAUUAAAACACUUGCAUAAUGGGGUCAGCGACGGCAGAAGCCACUGGAGGUUAUGUGCGAAAGCCUCCCUGUGAUACAUCCACCAGGUUUACCAACAAAAAAAAUUACAAG